CUAGCGAUGCCGCGUGAGUGACGAAGGUCUUAGGAUCGUAAAGCUCUUUCGCCAGGGAUGAUAAUGACAGUACCUGGUAAAGAAACCCCGGCUAACUCCGUGCCAGCAGCCGCGGUAAUACGGAGGGGGUUAGCGUUGUUCGGAAUUACUGGGCGUAAAGCGCACGUAGGCGGAUCAAUAAGUUAGAGGUGAAAUCCCAGGGCUCAACCCUGGAACUGCCUUUAAUACUGUUGGUCUAGAGUUCGAGAGAGGUAAGUGGAAUUCCGAGUGUAGAGGUGAAAUUCGUAGAUAUUCGGAGGAACACCAGUGGCGAAGGCGGCUUACUGGCUCGAUACUGACGCUGAGGUGCGAAAGUGUGGGGAGCAAACAGGAUUAGAUACCCUGGUAGUCCACUGCUGCCUCCCG
rnacentral:rRNA from 1 species